UCCUCCUACCUGUCCAAUGUGGAUGUCUACC
rnacentral:piRNA from 1 species